AUUGAACGCUAGCGGGAUGCUUUACACAUGCAAGUCGAACGGAGUGGCGGACGGGUGAGUAAUAUAUCGGAACGUGCCCAGUAGCGGGGGAUAACUACUCGAAAGAGUGGCUAAUACCGCAUACUAUUGUAUCGGCCGAUAUCGGAUUAGCUAGUUGGUGGGGUAAAGGCUCACCAAGGCAACGAUCCGUAGCUGGUGUGAGAGGACGACCAGCCACACUGGAACUGAGACACGGCCCAGACUCCUACGGGAGGCAGCAUUGGGGAAUUUUGGACAAUGGGGGAAACCCUGAUCCAGCCAUCCGGCGUGUAUGAUGAAGGCCUUCGGGUUGUAAAGUACUUUUGGCGGGGAAGCGGUAUCUGCAGAAUAAGCACCGGCUAACUACGUGCCAGCCGCCGCGGUAAUAC
rnacentral:rRNA from 1 species